GCCGAUCAGGAAUGUACAACUUGGCUCCUACGUAGAGAUCGGAAGGUUUGCGAUUGAAGAGCAUAACAAGCAGUCGGAGGAGAUUCUGGCGUUCGUGAAAAACGUUAGGGGAAAAGAGCAAUACGACAAUGGCCUUAGAACUGUGAAUACGAGGGAAGUUUUAGAGGUCAAGGAGUUUAUAAAAGAAUCGCUGAUCCUGAUCAUGGUGGCAAGCAAAGUUUCAUAUUCAUUAUUCUAAAUAGAAAAGGAGUCGAUAAUCAUAAUUAUACAAAUAUAUUACUAUAAUUCAUACAUU